CUGCUCACUUUGACAGCACAUAUACAAAAAUUCGAACAAUACAGGGAAGAUUAGUAUGGCCACUACGCAAGGAUCACAUGCAAAUUCGUGAAGUGUUCCAUAUUUUU
rnacentral:snRNA from 1 species